rnacentral:rRNA from 1 species
GAUUAAUGCUGGCGAGAUGCAUAACACAUGCAAGUCGAGCGUGAUAAAAUGAGAGCUUGCUCAAGUUUUUGAAAGCGGCGGACGGCUGAGUAAUAUGUUGGAACUUGCCUCGAACUCAGGGAUAGCCUAUAGAAAUGUAGAUUAAUACCGGAUAGUCCCGUAAGGGUAAAGCGUUUAGCGGUUCGAGAGAGGCCUGCAUCCCAUUAGCUAGUUGGUAGUGUAAUGGACUACCAAGGCUGUGAUGGGUACCUGGUGUGAGAGCAUGACCAGGCAGAGUGGGACUGAGACACGGCCCACACUCCUACGGGAGGCAGCAGUGAGGAAUUUUUCGCAAUGGGGGAAACCCUGACGAAGCAAUCUCGCGUGCAGGAUGACACCCCUUGGGCGGUAAACUAGCUUUAUUGAGGGAAGAAGAUCUGACGGUA